UCAGGAUAUGGAGUUGCGAUCAUGUCAUCAGAUGUUAACUUUAGAGUCAAGAAAACUUUUAAGCUAUUUACAGCUUUUAACAAUUAAGUAUGUUCCUACAAACAAAAUUUGGAGCAUAUUUAUUUCUCUCUACUGAUUUCUCCAGAAUUUGUAAACUAUUUGACACAGUUGGAGAAACUGGUUGUUUUACCAAGGCUUUGACUGGAAUGAUGUGCUUUCCUUUAAGGAAUCAAGCUUGACUUAUGGAGACAAUAAAAGUCCCUUGGAAAAACUGGCCUCAUACCUUGGUCUACAUAGCUCCUGAUCUGCGGACAUGAGACUUCACAACCUUCCAAAAAUGAGCUUUCCUAAUAACUUGGUAUGUACCUGUCUAAGAGUAAACCAUCACAGCCAUGAGAGAGCAGACGAAACCUGGGACCAGAGACUCAUUUUCUUCUAAAAUGCUUUCUCCAAAAGAUUUUAAUAAAGAAAAGGGGAGAAAUGUGAGAGGAAAAUAUCUUGGGCCCCCCAAAUCACUAAGCUAAAGGGAAAAUUCAAGCUGGGAACUGCUUAGGGCAAACCUGCUUCCCGUUCUAUUCAAAGUCAUCCUUCUGCUUACUGAGAUAAAUGCAUAUCUGAUUGUCUCCUUUGGAAAGGCUAAUCAGAAACUCAAAAGAAUGCAACUGUUUUUCUCUGACCUACUUGUGACCUGGAAGCCCCCUCCCCUCUUUGAGUUGGCCCGCAUUUGCUUCAAGUUGUCUCACCUGUCUAGACCAAACCAAUGUUCAUUUUACAUAUGUUGAUUGACAUCUCAUGUCUUUCUAAAAUGUAUAAAACCAAGCUAUGCGUUCUGACCACCUUGGGCACAUGUUGUCCAGACCUCCUGGGACUCUGUCAUGGGUGUGUCCUCAACCUUGGCAAAAUAAACUUUCUAAAUUAACAGACCUGUCUCAAAUUUUGGGGGUUCACA
rnacentral:lncRNA from 10 species